rnacentral:rRNA from 1 species
GACGAACGCUGGCGGCGUGCUUAACACAUGCAAGUCGAACGGAAAGGCCCUGCUUGCAGGGUACUCGAGUGGCGAACGGGUGAGUAACACGUGGGUGAUCUGCCCUGCACUUCGGGAUAAGCUUGGGAAACUGGGUCUAAUACCGGAUAGGAGCCAUCUUUAGUGUGGUGGUUGGAAAGUUUUUUCGGUGUAGGAUGAGCUCGCGGCCUAUCAGCUUGUUGGUGGGGUAAUGGCCUACCAAGGCGGCGACGGGUAGCCGGCCUGAGAGGGUGUACGGCCACAUUGGGACUGAGAUACGGCACAGACUCCUACGGGAGGCAGCAGUGGGGAAUAUUGCACAAUGGGCGCAAGCCUGAUGCAGCGACGCCGCGUGGGGGAUGAAGGCCUUCGGGUUGUAAACUCCUUUCGCUAGGGACGAAGCUUUUUGUGACGGUACCUAGAUAAGAAGCACCGGCUAACUACGUG